CGAGAGUUUGAUCCUGGCUCAGAAUCAACGCUGGCGGCGUGCCUAACACAUGCAAGUCGUACGAGAAAGUGGAGCAAUCCAUGAGUAAAGUGGCGACCGGGUGAGUAACACGUGACUACCUACCUUCUAGUGGGGGAUAACUCCGGGAAACCGGAGCUAAUACCGCAUAACAUCGCAAGAUCAAAGCAGCAAUGCGCUGGAAGAGGGGGUCGCGGCUGAUUAGC
rnacentral:rRNA from 1 species